CUUCACCGACCCCAGCCACAGCGGCCGGUCGCGGUCCCGGCCGUAGGUGGUCAGCAGGGCCUGUGCCUC
rfam:Streptomyces autolyticus strain CGMCC0516, complete genome.